rnacentral:sRNA from 1 species
GACAGUUAUUGUUGGCGCUUCAGCCAUGUGCUCGUACAUAAAUAAUUUCGAUCUUUAAAUUUAAUGCCCAAGCCAAUGUUUUGUGAAAACGGAAUUAAUAUUCGCUUAGUGUUAUCCAGAAUUAUUUUGAAGAAAAGUCGAAGCAGUUGGAACAUGAAACAACGUCAAAAGGAAAAUGAACUUGUGCCAUAGAGACAAAUCUGUUUUUAUAUAGCUUGGAAAAGUUCUGUCCUCAGACUUUUAAUGGAAAUUGAGAGAUGUCAAGCGUGAGCGGAAGAAAGGAGAGAAGAAGCAAGAGGAUUCACAAAUUAAGGACCACAAUUAAUUUCAAGGACCUCCACGAGUAACAACGCAAUUUUUUCCAGGAUCGGACUUUAAUUAGGAUAGAUAUAGCUAUUUUAAGUUCAAAUAAGCCAAAUUUAUAAUUUAUGCACGUUUUGUAUAAUUUUAAGAGAAUUAAUUAAGAGAAUUAGUAUGGA